GGAGGGAUAGCUCAGUUGAUAGAGCACCUGACUGGAAGGCAAAGAGGUCCCAGGUUCAAACCCUGGUUCCAUCA